UGGGGAAUAUUGCGCAAUGGGGGGAACCCUGACGCAGCCAUGCCGCGUGAAUGAAGAAGGCCUUAGGGUUGUAAAGUUCUUUCGGUAUUGAGGAAGGUUGAUGUGAUAAUAGCACAUCAAAUUGACGUUAAAUACAGAAGAAGCACCGGCUAACUCCGUGCCAGCAGCCGCGGUAAUACGGGGGGUGCGAGCGUUAAUCGGAAUAACUGGGCGUAAAGGGCACGCAGGCGGUUAUUUAAGUGAGGUGUGAAAGCCCUGGGCUUAACCUGGGAAUUGCAUUUCAGACUGGGUAACUAGAGUACUUUAGGGAGGGGUAGAAUUCCACGUGUAGCGGUGAAAUGCGUAGAGAUGUGGAGGAAUACCGAAGGCGAAGGCAGCCCCUUGGGAAUGUACUGACGCUCAUGUGCGAAAGCGUGGGGAGCAAACAGGAUUAGAUACCCUGGUAGUCCACGCUGUAAACGCUGUCGAUUUGGGGGUUGGGGUUUAACUCUGGCGCCCGUAGCUNACGUGAUAAAUCGACCGCCUGGGGAGUACGGCCGCAAGGNUA
rnacentral:rRNA from 1 species